GUCUGAAUUUAUACAGAUGCAAUUACUCAAUACUGAGGCCAUGAAACAAGCGAUGUAUCAAGGGAUGACACAGACGUCUGGCUCUGAGCAAGACAAUGAGUCAGAGCUGCCAGGAGAUGUCAUCGAGCCCCUCCCAACUGCAUCAAGCACCAGAUAGGCUGUUCCAAAAGGGCCCAAUGACAGGUUUUGGGAUGACGACCCAAUCCACCACAGAUGGGAUAGUCCUCCUGGUAAUCUACGGCCUGCUGGGUUGCUCUGCCACCAUCCUCUUCUUCAGACUCUUCCUGGAGAGGGUUGUCACCAUGUUGGGCUUUCUCAUGUGAUGGUGCCACCGGAGGAGAACACACAUCAGGCUAGGGGGCAAGAGCAACCAACCCGAGGGGGGAGGAGAGGAAAGAGACAUGGAGGGUGGGAAAGAGGGGUCGAGGUCCUUUGUGUAUACCGUCACUCUCAUACUGUUUGCUGCUGCCCUGGUGUUGGCGUGCGGUGCUUCACUCUCUACUCAGCCAUGGAGGGCUGGAGCUGCUCAAAUCCCUGUACUUCUGCUUCGUGGCCUUCAAUACGGUGGGCUUCAGGAACCUGGUGAGCAACCAGGAAGAGUCUUACGGAGGAGCCCCCAGUGGAACCUACCUGCAUCCUCAUGCUCCUGUGGGUAUGCUGUACCUACUCCCUAUUCAGUGCCCUCUCUGUCAUCAUCAAACAGAGGCUGAACCAGAUCCUGAGUCAGCUGAUCCAUCUACGUAGCUGCCUGUGCCAAGGCAGACUUCUACGAUGCCCACUGUUGCCCAUGUACUUGCCAAACCCGGUGGGUAAAUGCUUGUGUGCUGGUGCCACAGUGGAAACCCUAUGCCACAGGAACAUGGACUUGAGCACCACCAAAGCCAGAGAAAUGGGGCAACAUGGAUACAGCCUUCCCCAAGAGGAAGUCAUACAUGUCGGACCACCAUGACUGGUACAACAGCUCCAGACUGGAAAGACCCUGGAUUUACCUGCAUAUAUAUACAACAAUUGUGUUACUUUGAAACUUUUUUUCAUCUGCAUUUUUUUUAGGGUACUGUAUACUUAAUGUACUCAAUGUAUCGUGAAACCAGUUUUACUCUCCCCAUAAAGUCCAUUAGGCGUGUGAUGAUGGUUGUAGUACAGUAGUUUACAAUGUGGUUUCAUGAUGCAAUUUGUCUCCACAAGAGGGAGCACAUGGAUAAAGCCAUGUGGAUUUUAUUUUGGUGGACCGCAUUUUUUACUGAUCCAACUUUUUCCAACUGUUGUCCUGACUUUUUUGUGUGCAAAUAAAUGAAAGGACGAAAAGAUACAACACUGACUGAAUAUUGCAAUAUGGCACACAAACGCAAUUAAGAAUUAUUGAUAUAUCUCUACUUUUUGUACACACAGGAGCAGUUAUAAUAGACCCCUGCCAUGGUUCCAUUUAAAUGCCAUUAGUA